rnacentral:rRNA from 1 species
AAAGGCUGGAAAUAGCUGGUUCUCCGCGAAAUCUAUUUAGGUAGAGCCUCGAGUGAAUACCCCAGGGGGUAGAGCACUGGAUGGGCUAGGGGCCCCCACAGGGUUACCAAACCUAACCAAACUCCGAAUACCUGGGAGUACUACUCGGGAGACACACGGCGGGUGCUAACGUCCGUCGUGAAAAGGGAAAAAACCCUGACCGACAGCUAAGGUCCUCAAGUCAUGGCUAAGUGGGAAAGGAUGUGGAAAUCCCAAAACAACCAGGAGGUUGGCUUAGAAGCAGCCAUCCUUUAAAGAAAGCGUAACAGCUCACUGGUCUAAGUAAGGGUUUCUGCGCCGAAAAUGUAACGGGGCUAAAGCCAUGCACCGAAGCUUCGGGUGUGCGCAAGCACGCGGUAGCGGAGCGUUCCGUAAGUCUGUGAAGGGAGACCCGUGAGGGCUCCUGGAGAUAUCGGAAGUGCGAAUGCAGACAUGAGUAACGACAGGAGUGUGAGAAACACUCCCGCCGAGAGUCCAAGGGUUCCUGCGUAAAGUUAAUCUGCGCAGGGUUAGCCGGCCCCUAAGGCGAGGGCGAAAGCCGUAGUCGAUGGGAACCACGUUAAUAUUCGUGGGCCAGUGGGAGAGUGACGGAUGGUAGAUGUUGUCAGACCUUAUCGGAUUGGUCUGGCUUCGAAGCCGUCCCUGGAAAUAGCCCCCACAUAGACCGUACCCGAAACCGACACAGGUGGACAGGUAGAGAAUACCAAGGCGCUUGAGCGAAGUGUGCUGAAGGAACUCGGCAAAUUACCUGCGUAACUUCGGGAGAAGCAGGCCAUCCGUUUGGGCAACCAGGCGGGUGGGGCACAGACCAGGGGGUUGCGACUGUUUAGCAAAAACACAGGGCUAUGCUAAGUCUAAAUGACGACGUAUAUGGCCUGACGCCUGCCCGGUGCCGGAAGGUUAAGAGGAGAAGUGAAAGCUUUGAAUCGAAGCCCCGGUAAACGGCGGCCGUAACAAUAACGGUCCUAAGGUAGCGAAAUUCCUUGUCGGGUAAGUUCCGACCUGCACGAAUGGCGUAACGACUUCCCCACUGUCUCCAGUACACACUCAGUGAAAUUGAAUUCCCCGUGAAGAAGCGGGGUUCCUGCGGUUAGACGGAAAGACCCCGUGCACCUUUACUGCAACUUUGCACUGGCAAUCGUAUUUGCAUGUGUAGAAUAGGUGGUAGGCUUUGAAGCCAGGGCGUCAGCUUUGGUGGAGCCGUAAUGUGAAAUACCACCCUUACGAAUAUGGUUGUCUAACCGCGAUC